UGGUACUACAUAAGGCGUUCAAUUAACGCCCCUACGCCACUGUCUGUUCACGCAUUGUUCAUCGCAAGUUCCUAAUUUUGCUAAUACUAUGGUGAUGAACGACCAAAGCACUCUUUGCUGCUUGUCCAAGAAGCUUACAAAAAUAAUAAGGAAAGUACAUGCAUAAUGCCUCACCGCCACUGCCCGCGUCCUGUUCUAGGCAAGUUUUAUUGUCUGGCCAGCUGAGGAUGAGUCCGACGGAGUCUGCAGUUCGGUAUAUGUCUUUAAGCAUAUGAGGAAACAAUUCGUAAUCUACUAAAAUGACGGUUAUUUGCAAAGGAAUUGUAAUGAACCCUGGUGUCCCGCCUUCGGAAAGGCACAGGAUCGGGGAACGAAACUCCCCAGUCGAAGAGAUGGACGGCUUGCUUGGAAAAUGCCUCUUCGUGGUGGUUUCUGCCACACUCGCUACGCUGAUUAUGGCCCCAAAUGAAGCUGGGGCAAUUCCACCUAAUGUAUGGGACACUAUUAUAAAGGCCGUGGGACGAAAUGAAGACAAUGUGGAGUGACGAAGCAUCAGUCUUCGUGACACAAUGUGGCUGCCUUGCGUUCCAUUGACGAC